UUCCCGAUUUUGAUAAAAACUGAUAACAAUAAACCUGAUAAGAAAAAAAAAAAAAGGCCCAUACCAACCUAUAAAAUUCCAAUUCCCACAUCGAUUACCAGCGAUUAAAUAAAAAAUUUAAAUAUCAGUUUAAUACCAAUCGUGAUUUUUCCAAAAAUUCAUAUCGAGAAAUUUAAUCUCCUAUAAAAUAAAACCCUGUUUAGUUAGCUUUUAAUAUUGGUGAAGUUAGGUUUUAAUCAGUUUAAUCAAUAAUUUCGUCCGUUAAAAUUUCAAAUAGCAAAUAACCGUCUAUAAUAACUUUAACGGUCAUUUUACGUUUGUCUUUGUCGCUUUUAUUAGGAAGUUGGUAUUUGGUUCAUCUUAACAUUUGAAAAUACUGAAUGCUGCUUACAAAAAUCUUCCAAAUAUAUUGUAUGCAGUAAACACCAUGGAUUUUGUUGUGAUGGUCAUUGGUUGAUGAUAGCAUUGAUUAUACAUAGUAUAAUACUAUGUAUAAUCAAUGAUGAUAGCUAUUUUGAUGACAUCUUGAAAAUUGCAAUACUUAACUUAACCAUAACUUUGUCUUUUUUAUUAAACAGUUACACAUAUUUUUAUGAAUAUUUUAAUAACUAUACAGUUAUUCUGUUUAGGAAAAUUGAAUAUAUCUGAAAAUUGCAUGGCAGUUAUGGCUGGAAGAAUCUGCAAUGUUGUUAAGUCAAAUAUUUAUAAAGCAUAUCAAAUAACUUAAAACUUUUUCUUAUUAAUAAUUCAUGAAUUAUUAACUGUGGAAGACACUGAAAAUAAGAUUAACAAUUAAUCUCUAUUUUUAUUACCUAAAUUAUGUACCUAUGUGUUCUAACUGAAAUAGCUUCAGUUUAUGUAAAGUGAAUAAUUAUUAAUGAAUUAUUUUAAGAGUUGUUAAUAUUAUGUGAAUGUAACAAAACAAAUAAUUAUGUUAAUUAGAUAUUUUAUCAUAUCUGUGAAUGACUGUGAUACUAAUACAAAUUUUUUAAUUUAUUAUAUAGCCUGAUACAUCUACCCAUUUACCUGCCACUUACCUACGAGAAAAAAAAACAGUUUUUUUUAAGACUAACUUCUGCGAUUUUACUGUAAGUAAAAGAAAUAAACGGUUUUUCUCAAGACCAAUCUCUGUGACUUGCCUAUAAGUAUAUAUAAAAGGUUUUUCUUAAAACCAACCGACUUUAUAUUUAUACAUAUAUUUCUUUUGUUUGUUUAAUAUUUUUUAAGUUUUGUUUAGCAUAGUAAAAUGGCAUUGAGAGAUCAUGACUAUGUCAUUCCAGCCAAUCACGAAGAAGUCGGUCUCCCAGCUCAUUUGUUGGAUCAUGAUUAUUUUCGUCCAGUUGUUUACGAGAACAACCCGAAUGAAGAACUCACCGAUGAAGAAGUAGAAGUACUUGAAAAUGAAAGAGUUCCAGCAGAUGAAGAAGUGCUUGAAGAAGAAGAUCCAGAAGAUAAUCCUUUGAAUCAAGUACCAGUUACUUACAGACUGAUCCCGGGGGUUCAUCAUGGUUCUAGGGUUUAUAUUGAUAAUUUAGGAUUUAAGUACUACAAGCGCGAAGCCAGAAUUAACCGGAUAUAUUUGGUAUGUGAAAGGCAAAAAAGUCGGGUACAUGAUUAUUGUCCUUGUACAGCAUCGGUAAGUACAGAACCUGUUGACAAUAGAAUUAGAAUUCGAAAUCGACACAACCACGAACCUGCAGAUAUCAAUUUACAUGUGCCUUUCUUGAGAGAAGCAAUUGGUGCAAGGGGCAUUGAUCCUGAAAACAUGUCUGUUUCAGUUAGGACUGCAUACAACAAUGCAAUUGUUCAGUAUCCAGAAGCUGCUAACAAUUACACAUUUAUGCAAGGACAGGGAAGAUGGAAGAGGAUGCGGAGGUCACGUCAACCAAACGGUGGACGCAUUCCCGAAGACAUCCAUGAGCUUGCUGAAGCAUUGACCCGACCAGAGAAUGCUGCCUACAGUCAAACGCUUCAGACACCACCGUCAAAUUUCUUCCAACAAGAACUUCUAGUCAAUGGAUCAAGCGAAGGAAUUAUUUUUGCAAACCUGGAUGCAAUUAGGAGAUUUAGAGAAGAGUUGGCCACAGUUACAACAGUUGGAAUUGACGGGACUUUCAAGACUGUUCCUGCUACUCCUGCAGACUUGAGAAGUUUUCUGACUUUUCAAGUGGUAUUUAAGAGUGUAUCGUUCCCAAUGGUGUAUGUUCUUCUUAGAAGUCGGACAGAAGAAACAUAUGUUACAUUGUUUAAUAUUGUUCGUCAAAUUUUACCUUUAAAUUAUAAUUCAAUUCGAUUUGUUACAGAUUAUGAAAAAGGACUCAUGAAUGCAGUUCAACAAGCAUUUCCAGAAAGUAGAUUAGGAUGUUGCUGGUUCCAUUACACCCAAUCAAUUGUGCGGUAUUGUCAUCGUAAAUUAAAUGGUGUUUUGGAUUUAGUCAAGAGAAAUCCUGAAGCAGCUCGUGUUUUCAGAAUGGUUCUUGCACUGCCUCAUCUGCCUGCUGUUAGAGGUCAUCCACAAUGUCCACGGUUUUGUAUGUAUGAUGGUUUCAGGGCCAUCAUGCAGUUGGUCCAGAGUUUAUCAGUGUUUUUGGAGAAGACUAUCGUACAAAUAACUAUUUAGAAUCAUUCCACUCAACAUUAUUGUCACAAAUGGGACGCCAUCCUAAUAUUUGGGAUUUUCUCCGUGAGUCAGAUAACGUCUGAUGUGUUUUUAUGUGUUGUAACUUUGUCCUAAAUGUUUGUGAUUAUAUGGUUUAUGGUUUAUAUGUUCAACAGCGUGUUACAGAUAAGAAAAUUAACUUACAUUGAAAAUCAGUUUUCAGUUGAGUUUAAUCAAGUACGGAAUAAUCUCAGGGUGAGAGACGGCAUAUCAAGAUCGGAACGAGUUAUUGCCACUCAUAUUAUUGCUCAAAAUGUCCAGCGCCU